AACGUAGGAGGCAAGCGUUGUCCGGAAUCAUUGGGCGUAAAGAGCGUGUAGGCGGUCCGGUAAGUCCGCUGUGAAAGUCGGGGGCUCAACCCUCGAAUGCCGGUGGAUACUGUCGGGCUAGAGUACGGAAGAGGCGAGUGGAAUUCCUGGUGUAGCGGUGAAAUGCGCAGAUAUCAGGAGGAACACCUAUUGCGAAGGCAGCUCGCUGGGACGUAACUGACGCUGAGACGCGAAAGCGUGGGGAGCGAACAGG
rnacentral:rRNA from 1 species